GCCGGGCAUGGUGGCGCAUGCCUGUAGUCCCAGCUGCUUGGGAGGCUGAGGCAGGAGAAUCGCUUGAACCCAGGAGGCGCAGGUUGCAGCGAGCCGAGAUUGUGCCACUGCACUCCAGCCUGGGUGACAGAGCAAGACUCCGUCUCAA
ensembl:misc_RNA Metazoa_SRP Metazoan signal recognition particle RNA